AUUGAACGCUGGCGGCAGGCCUAACACAUGCAAGUCGAGCGAGCGGCGGACGGGCGAGCAAGGUCUGGGAAACUGCCUGAUGUAGCGGGACAAGUACUGGAAACGGUAGAUAAUACCGCAUACCACCAGAUGUGGCGCCACUGGAUUAGCUAGUAGGUGGGGCAAUGGCUCACAUAGGCGACGAUGCCUAGCUGGUCUGAGAGGAUGACCAGCCACACUGGAACUGAGACACGGUCCAGACUCCGACGGGAGGCAGCAGUGGGGAAUAUUGCGCAAUGGGCGCAAGCCUGAUGCAGCCAUGCCGCGUGAGUGAAGAAGGCCUUCGGAUUGUAAAACACUUUCAGCGAGGAGGCGUUACUCGCAGAGAAAGCAACGGCUAACUCCGUGCCAGCAGCCGCGGUAAUAC
rnacentral:rRNA from 1 species